rnacentral:lncRNA from 1 species
GUAUUUUCAUUUUAUUUCAUUUUUUCAUUAUAUUUUUUGUGACAUGAUUUUGAGUGUGCAGUUUCUUCUUGUUGUGGUCUGAUCGAGUUGAUCAUGGGCCAAGUUUACACGUAAUUUUAAUGAUUAGAUUAUUUCCCUUUGUUAUUGAUUGGAAAAAAAUGACGGCAAUAUGUUCAUUUCAUCACACGAGUCACAAAUUUCCUUAAAACAGCUAUCGUGAAUAUCAUAUUCAUGAUUAUGAACAUUGGGAUGUAUCAGGCAACGCUUUCUUCACUUUUAAC